rnacentral:rRNA from 2 species
UUUUGGAAGUUUUCGGAUGGAAGAAGUGUGUUCUAGCGGCGGACGGGUGAGUAACGCGUGAGCAACCUGUCCCUCACAGGGGAAUAACGCAUCGAAAGGUGUGCUAAUACCGCAUGAGACCACGGUACCGACAUGGUACAGGGGUUAAAGGAGCAAUCCGGUGAGGGGUGGGCUCGCGUCUGAUUAGCUGGUUGGUGAGGUAACGGCUCACCAAGGCGACGAUCAGUAGCCGACCUGAGAGGGUGAUCGGCCACAUUGGAACUGAGAAACGGUCCAAACUCC